GAUGAACGCUGGCGGCGUGCCUAAUACAUGCAAGUCGAGCGAACGGACGAGAAUCUUGCUUCUCUGAUGUUAGCGGCGGACGGGUGAGUAACACGUGGAUAACCUACCUAUAAGACUGGGAUAACUUCGGGAAACCGGAGCUAAUACCUGAUAAUAUUUUGAACCGCAUGAUUCAAAAGUGAAAGACGGUCUUGCUGUCACUUAUAGAUGGAUCCGCGCUUCAUUAGCUAGUUGGUAAGGUAACGGCUUACCAAGGCAACGAUGCAUAGCCGACCUGAGAGGGUGAUCGGCCACACUGGAACUGAGACACGGUCCAGACCACGACGGGAGGCAGCAGUAGGGAAUCUUCCGCAAUGGGCGACAGCCUGACGGAGCAACGCCGCGUGAGUGAUGAAGGUCUUCGGAUCGUAAAACUCUGUUAUUAGGGAAGAACAUAUGUGUAAGUAACUGUGCACAUCUUGACGGUACCUAAUCAGAAAGCCACGGCUAACUCCGUG
rnacentral:rRNA from 1 species